rnacentral:rRNA from 1 species
UACAGAGGUGGCAAGCGUUGUUCGGAAUUACUGGGCGUAAAGGGCGCGUAGGCGGCCUUCUAAGUCAGACGUGAAAUCCCCCGGCUUAACCUGGGAACUGCGUCUGAUACUGGAAGGCUUGAGUGCGGGAGAGGGAUGUGGAAUUCCACGUGUAGCAGUGAAAUGCGUAGAGAUGUGGAGGAACACCGAUGGCGAAGGCAGCCUCCUGGGCCGACACUGACGCUGAGGGCACGAAAGCGUGGGGAGCAAACAGG